AAUAGGUACUAUUAUACUACAUUUUAUAAUAAUAUGGCUAUACAUCUAAAGGAAUCUUGUAUUUACCUACAUUUUAAAUAUUAUUACCAAAUAAUAAUACCUAUAGGAUUGGCAUAUGGUCAUAUGCUUAUAUAUAUUUCUCCUUCGCCUUCAUCCCAUUCAUCUUGGGCAGUAAACAGAAAAAUGUAACAGGGAUGAGAAUGCUUUGCUGGAUGAAAGGAG